GAUGAACGCUGGCGGCGUGCUUAACACAUGCAAGUCGAACGAAGCAAUUAAUAGGAAGUUUUCGGAUGGAAUAAUAAUUGACUGAGUGGCGGACGGGUGAGUAACGCGUGGGUAACCUGCCUCAUACAGGGGGAUAACAGUUAGAAAUGACUGCUAAUACCGCAUAAGCGCACAGGACCGCAUGGUCUGGUGUGAAAAACUCCGGUGGUAUGAGAUGGACCCGCGUCUGAUUAGCUAGUUGGUAAGGUAACGGCUUACCAAGGCGACGAUCAGUAGCCGACCUGAGAGGGUGAUCGGCCACAUUGGGACUGAGACACGGCCCAAACUCCUACGGGAGGCAGCAGUGGGGAAUAUUGCACAAUGGGGGAAACCCUGAUGCAGCGACGCCGCGUGAGUGAAGAAGUAUUUCGGUAUGUAAAGCUCUAUCAGCAAGGAAGAAAAUGACGGUACUUGACUAAGAAGCCCCGGCUAACUACGUGCCAGCAGCCGCCGUAAAAC
rnacentral:rRNA from 1 species